AUAUAGUGGAGACUAGCAACCACUUUAAAAACAGGGCAGUACUGAAAAGCCAUACGAGUAGGAUAAUU
rfam:Bacteroidetes bacterium GWC2_33_15 gwc2_scaffold_216, whole genome shotgun sequence.